GAUGAACGCUGGCGGCGUGCCUAAUACAUGCAAGUCGAGCGAACGGACGAGAAGCUUGCUUCUCUGAUGUUAGCGGCGGACGGGUGAGUAACACGUGGAUAACCUACCUAUAAGACUGGGAUAACUUCGGGAAACCGGAGCUAAUACCGGAUGAUAUUUUGAACCGCAUGGUUCAAAAGUGAAAGACGGUCUUGCUGUCACUUAUAGAUGGAUCCGCGCUGCAUUAGCUAGUUGGUAAGGUAACGGCUUACCAAGGCAACGAUGCAUAGCCGACCUGAGAGGGUGAUCGGCCACACUGGAACUGAGACACGGUCCAGACUCCUACGGGAGGCAGCAGUAGGGAAUCUUCCGCAAUGGGCGAAAGCCUGACGGAGCAACGCCGCGUGAGUGAUGAAGGUCUUCGGGUCGUAAAACUCUGUUAUUAGGGAAGAACAUAUGUGUAAGUAACUGUGCACAUCUUGACGGUACCUAAUCAGAAAGCAACGGCUAACUACGUG
rnacentral:rRNA from 1 species